rnacentral:rRNA from 1 species
UACGUAGGUGGCAAGCGUUGUCCGGAAUUACUGGGCGUAAAGCGCGUGUAGGCGGCCGGCCAAGUCUGCUGUGAAAUCGCCCGGCUCAACUGGGCGGGGGCGGUGGAAACUGGUCACCUGGAGGACGGUAGAGGCGAGUGGAAUUCCCGGUGUAGUGGUGAAAUUCGUAGAUAUCGGGAGGAACACCAGUGGCGAAGGCGGCGAUCUGGGAAGAUACUGACGCUGAGGUGCGAAAGCGUGGGGAGCAAACAGG